rnacentral:rRNA from 1 species
UUCCGGUUGAUCCUGCCAGAGGUUACUGCUAUCGAGGUUCGACUAAGCCAUGCGAGUCGAAUGUAGCAAUACAUGGCGUACUGCUCAGUAACACGUGGACAACCUACCCUCCGGUCGGGUAUAAACCCGGGAAACUGGGUAUAAUCCCCGAUAGAGCUCGAAUGCUGGAAUGCAUUGAGCUCGAAAGCUCCGGCGCCGAAGGAUGGGUCUGCGGCCUAUCAGGUAGUAGUGGGUGUAGCGUACCUACUAGCCUACGACGGGUACGGGUUGUGAGAGCAAGAGCCCGGAGAUGGAUUCUGAGACACGAAUCCAGGCCCUACGGGGUGCA